CUCCCGUUGAUCCUGCGGGACCUGACUGCUAUCGGAUUGGUACUAAGCCAUGCGAGUCGUUGUAGCAAUACAAGGCGGACGGCUCAGUAACACGUAGUCAAUCUAACCUAUGGACGUGGAUAACCUCGGGAAACUGAGAAUAAUACACGAUAGAUCAUGAUGCCUGGAAUGGUUUAUGAUCAAAAUGAUUUAUCGCCGUAGGAUGGGACUGCGGCCUAUCAGCUUGUUGGUGAGGUAAUGGCCCACCAAGGCUAUAACAGGUACGGGCUCUGAGAGGAGAAGCCCGGAGAUGGGUACUGAGACACGGACCCAGGCCCUAUGGGGCGCAGCAGGCGAGAAACCUUAGCAAUGUGCGAAAGCACGACUAGGUUAAUCCGAGUGAUUUCUGCUGAAGAAAUCUUUUGUCAGUUUUAAAAGUACAGACGAAUAAGGGGUGGGCAAGUCUGGUGCCAGCAGCCGCGGUAAU
rnacentral:rRNA from 1 species